UUCUUUGCUUUUGGACUGAAUGCAGGAGGACCAGCUUCUUCAAGCUCCUGUUGCUCCCAUCACUUUGCCAUGGUAGGGUGUACCUUAAACUGUGAGCUAAAACAUAUCCUUUCUCUCUCUAAGGUUGCCUUGGUCAGAAACAAUUUUAGAGUCCAAGACAAUCUCUUCUCCUUCUCUGGUUGCUAAAACUCUACCUCCCUUUGAAAGAGCUAUCAUAUCAUCUCUCUUUGGGUGACUUCCAAUCCGCCCAUUUCACGGGGAGGAGGAAGGUACUGGUUUAUUUCAAUAUGACUUUGAAGGAAAAUUACCGUGCAAAUGUUAGAAGAGUAAUGACUGCAAGACCAAGUCCUAAUUCAGACUGCUCUGAUCAUUCUACUACUCUGAUGUCUAUGGAUUUGACACAAAUCAACAGCCAAGACUUUAAAUUCAGACAUGCCUAUUGCGUGACUGAAAAAGUAUUUAGUGUUUACAUCAUUUGUUGUCAUCCAGAAGAUCUCAAACUCUCAAGUGAUGGGAAAUCCCACUUGUAAGUUGUUACCUACCUCCUCUCAGCAGUUUUUAGCAUUGCCUGCAUCCGUUCUUCUAUUGUUGCUUUAAUUAAGAAUCUAUGUACAAUAGUAGGUCUAGAAGGCAAAUAAUAAUUUUAAGUUUAAAGACCAUCUUAGAUGGGAUUGUCGUAUGAUUGGAAUCUCCAGUACGUAGCAUAAUGUCUGACACAGUUUAGGGAUAUCAUCCUCUUGGUUUGCCUUCUCUGAGGUGAAGACAUAGGAGACUUCUUUGUGUGAUGUGGUCUGGCGGCAGAUAGCACACUUGAUGGAACUUCGAUGAGACCCCACACUGUACUGUUCAAUUAUAAUCGAAGUGCAUUCAUUACAGAAGCAGUGUCCGCAGGUCAGCACUGCCCACUGAAAAAAAACCAUGCAUGGCAAGUCAUGGUGAGAACGGGUCAAUGAGACCUUCCUGUCCAUGAACACAUACACAGGCAAAGAGGACUUACAACUCCAAUUCCUAAGUACCUCAUGAUUUAAAGAAAACAUCAGUACUGAUUACACCUUCAGUACUUAACAGCAGAUAAUGCAGAACUGAGAACAUUAAUGUGAAGGAAAGACUGGUAGAAUUCUGACUGAAUCCUGACACGAAUGGAGAUUAUUAGAGUACACAUUCUAAAUACCUAGACACCUACCAGUUGAGAGGGAGUCUAGCUGGCCGCAGGUGGCAAACUGUUGCAGACUCAAUCACCUCCCGGGAUGGAGGCUUCUCCAGCUUCUUCACAGCCUCCCUCACCAGCUUCUGGAACUUAUGGAGCUCUUCCAUUUGUGUUGUAAGUAAGAACUGAAGACCUCUGCAGUCACGGAACCUUAUUCCCAUCAGCAGCACAGCACAAAGAAAGUCAGUCAGUUUCUUCAGAAAACGUGUGUCAAUCAUGCUGUUAAAGAAACUGUCAAAUUCACACACUCUGCUGAGACUUCCCUUUAGAGUGUACCCACUGGUAC
rnacentral:lncRNA from 1 species